rnacentral:rRNA from 1 species
UUGACCUCGGGAUCAGGUAG